AUCCAAAUCGAGUUAUUCAAAGUUCCUCAGAUAGAUAUUGAAAAGAUCUACAACUUGGAGUUGGUCUCAUCGUCAAAUUCGUUACGGAUUUUCCUUGAUCAAGAUCUGGUCAGAUCUGACUUUGUCGAAUUAAACCAGGAGCUUGGGAACUAAUUUUUGAAUGAAACAAAUUGGGGGAUACUUAGUUUGUGCCAUGGUGAUAGCUAGAGAGGCAAUUGCUAAGUCGUGGCACUCUCAUACCUCUACUAGAUGCGAACAAUUCCAGAGAAGAAGAAGAAGUGGAAUCGAACGAGGAUUUUAUUUAUGUUGUUGGGAUUCUUAUAUUGAUGGAGUUGAAGAAGUCCAGGGACAAAUAAGCCAUGGCAAGCCACCUCUUGAUGCAUCUCUGAUCCUAUAUAUCUUACUCUUGCAUUAUUGCAGGUUUUAUAAAGUGCAUGUCUUUUUAUUUUCAUGUCGGUGGUUAGUGCCACCCGGAGUUUUAUUAAUCCACCCUUAGGGUGCAGCCCUCGUUGGUACCUACUGAACACAUCUCUAUUAGUGACAUGGUGAUUAUCACCUUGUCAUCCUUGUCGCCAU